UACGGAGGGUGCGAGCGUUGUCCGGAAUCACUGGGCGUAAAGGGCGCGUAGGCGGUUGGGGAAGUCCGUGGUGAAAGCUCGUGGCUCAACUACGAGUCGGCCAUGGAUACUCCUUGACCUGAGCACUGUAGAGGCAGAUGGAAUUCCGGGUGUAGCGGUGGAAUGCGUAGAGAUCCGGAAGAACACCAGUGGCGAAGGCGGCCCGCUGGGCAGUGGCUGACGCUGAGGCGCGACAGCGUGGGGAGCAAACAGG
rnacentral:rRNA from 1 species